UCGAGCGAAGCACCUUGACGGAUUUCUUCGGAUUGAAGCCUUGGUGACUGAGCGGCGGACGGGUGAGUAACGCGUGGGUAACCUGCCUCAUACAAGGGGAUAACAGUUGGAAACGGCUGCUAAUACCGCAUAAGCGCACAGUACCGCAUGGUACGGUGUGAAAAACUCCGGUGGUAUGAGAUGGACCCGCGUCUGAUUAGGUAGUUGGUGGGGUAACGGCCUACCAAGCCGACGAUCAGUAGCCGACCUGAGAGGGUGACCGGCCACAUUGGGACUGAGACACGGCCCAAACUCCUACGGGAGGCAGCAGUGGGGAAUAUUGCACAAUGGGGGAAACCCUGAUGCAGCGACGCCGCGUGAGCGAUGAAGUAUUUCGGUAUGUAAAGCUCUAUCAGCAGGGAAGAAAAUGACGGUACCUGACUAAGAAGCCCCGGCUAACUACGUGCCAGCAGCCGCGGUAAUACGUAGGGGGCAAGCGUUAUCCGGAUUUACUGGGUGUAAAGGGAGCGUAGACGGCAUGGCAAGCCAGAUGUGAAAGCCCGGGGCUCAACCCCGGGACUGCAUUUGGAACUGUCAGGCUAGAGUGUCGGAGAGGAAAGCGGAAUUCCUAGUGUAGCGGUGAAAUGCGUAGAUAUUAGGAGGAACACCAGUGGCGAAGGCGGCUUUCUGGACGGUGACUGACGU
rnacentral:rRNA from 1 species